rnacentral:rRNA from 1 species
CAGUAGCCGCGGUAAUACGUAGGGUGCAAGCGUUAAUCGGAAUUACUGGGCGUAAAGCGUGCGCAGGCGGUUUUGUAAGACAGAGGUGAAAUCCCCGGGCUCAACCUGGGAACUGCCUUUGUGACUGCAAGGCUAGAGUACGGCAGAGGGGGAUGGAAUUCCGCGUGUAGAAGUGAAAUGCGUAGAUAUGCGGAGGAACACCGAUGGCGAAGGCAAUCCCCUGGGCCUGUACUGACGCUCAUGCACGAAAGCGUGGGGAGCAAACAGGAUUAGAUACCCCAGUAGUCCCUGUCUCUUAUAC